UCCGAUGUGGUGUAACGGCUAUCAUCGCCCGCUUUCAUUGAAAGCAGAAAAUACGCUUACGUAAACCGGGCAGACCCGGGUUCGACUCCCGGCAUCGGAA